rnacentral:rRNA from 1 species
UACGUAGGGACCGAGCGUUGUCCGGAAUCAUUGGGCGUAAAGAGCGUGUAGGCGGCCAUUUAAGUCCUGCGUGAAAUCCUGCGGCUCAACCGCAGGCGGUCGUGGGAAACUGGAUGGCUAGAGUGCGGGAGAGGAGAGUGGAAUUCCUGGUGUAGCGGUGGAAUGCGCAGAUAUCAGGAGGAACACCGGUGGCGAAGGCGGGUCUCUGGGCAGUAACUGACGCUGAGGAGCGAAAGCGUGGGGGAGCGAACAGG